UCCGACUUUUCGCCGGCAGUCUCCCUAGAGUCCCCGGCAUUACCCGCUGGCAACAUAGGACAAGGGUUGCGCUCGUUGCGGGACUUAACCCAACAUCUCACGACACGAGCUGACGACAACCAUGCACCACCUGUAUACCGACCUUGCGGGGACUGCAUCUCUGCAGCUUUCCGGCAUAUGUCAAACCCAGGUAAGGUUCUUCGCGUCGCCUCGAAUUAAGCAACAUGCUCCGCCGCUUGUGCGGGCCCCCGUCAAUUCCUUUGAGUUUUAGCCUUGCGGCCGUACUCCCCAGGCGGGGCACUUAAUGCGUUAGCUACGGCACGGAACCCGUUGAUGAGGCCCCACACCUAGUGCCCAACGUUUACGGCGUGGACUAC
rnacentral:misc_RNA from 1 species